CUUGUACAAGUGAUGUUGGC
rnacentral:siRNA from 1 species